AGCAGCCGCGGUAAUUCCAGCUCCAAUAGCGUAUAUUAAAGUUGUUGCAGUUAAAAAGCUCGUAGUUGAAUUUCGGGGUUAGCAGGUCGGUCGUGCCAUCGGUAUGAACUGGUCUCGCUGAUCCCUCCCUCUUGACGAACUGUGAUGCCAUUAAUUUGGUGUCGCAGGGAAUCAGGACUGUUACCUUGAAAAAUUAGAGUGUUUAAAGCAGGCUCACGCUUGAAUACAUUAGCAUGGAAUAAUGAAAUAGGACGUUUGAUCCUAUUUUGUUGGCUUCUAGGAUUGACGUAAUGAUUAAUAGGGAUAGUUGGGGCAUUAGUAUUCAAUUGUCAGAGGUGAAAUUCUUGGAUUUAUUGAAGACUAACUACUGCGAAAAGCAUUUUGCCAAGGAUAGUUUUCAUUAAUCAAGAACGAAAGUUAGGGGAUCGAAGACGAUCAGAUACCGUCGUAGUCUUAAACCAUAAACUAUGCCGACUAGGGAUCGGAUGAUGUUAAUUUUUUAAUGACUC
rnacentral:rRNA from 1 species